GGGGGCAUGGCGGAAAUGGUAGACGCUACGGACUUAAAAUCCGUUGAUUUUAAAAGUCGUGAGGGUUCAAUUCCCUCUGCCCCCA
rnacentral:tRNA from 1 species